rnacentral:lncRNA from 1 species
AAUGUGCGCACAUCAGUGUAUUCAUUCAGCAAACUAGUAGUAUGUACAACAGCAAGAGAACCCUUUGAUUUCUGAAACAUUAUGCUCAUUCAGUAAACUCAACAGUGUUAAAACAUAUUACUGCAAAAGGUAAGUGGCAUGAAUUACUACAGCUAAAUUCAACAAGACAGCAAGAAUUCAAUUAACUACUAUAGGUAAUUCAGGAGACUCCUGAUAUGAAAGUGACUGAUAAUAUACAAAAAGCUUCAGAUGCUUCGUCACUUGUACAAAAAGCUUGAUCUUCUGGGCUUAAUACUGCUGCGGAUGCCGGUGCCGAGGGUCUCCAAAUAUACUGCUACUGAUACCGAGGGUCUCCAAAUAUACCGAACGGAGGUUCUGCAUAUGAAUAAGGUGUACGAUAUUUAGCCAAUGGAUGAAAUUAGAAUACACUCGAGAGAAGAACAGGAAGUUGUCUCCAACCGCUAUGUAUCUCAUCUUCUAAAAAAGAACUUCACUGCCAAACUAAACUCAUAAAAAAGUAGUAACAUCCCAAAUUUUCAAUUUGGAAUGUUAUACAUUAGAUCAUCAUUGCAUACCAUAUUUUAUUUUGCAUUUUGGUUGAUCCUAGAAAUUCUAUGCAAUUCAAUGACCCACGGAGAGAGUUGGGGAUUUCGUUAUUUUCAUAUUUGAGUUUUCUCAAAUUUUGAGAAUAGGAUCAUUUGAUUUUAAUUAUUUUAUCAUCAAUUAUUUUCUAUUACAAAAAUAUGAGAGAGGGAAUAAAAUGACUUUCCCAAAAUAAAGAAAUAUUGAGGAUUUAAUAAUAAAAUCAAAUCAGAUUCUAUUUCAGAGUUUUUUGGUGUUUUAUUUGAAUUUAGGAAAAAUGUGCAUUUUUCAAAAUUGCAUUUAGGUCCCAAAUAAAUGUUCAUCUUGUGCGGCUUGAUUUUAGAAGUCCGUGAAAAUUUAUUUCGGAAUUUUUGAAGUCCAGUUAGUAUUUCUUUUUAUUUUUCUUCUGCGCGUAAUUAUUAAAAAAACGAACCAACCUACGGGCCGUGUCCGACUAGGACUCCAACCCGGCUAGCCUUUAUAAGCCGGGGGAGGCCCAGCCCCAGCCGAACCCUAAGCCGCCGCCAGCCCCAGUGCCGCCCCGCCGCGCCGCCACCGUCGCCGCGCCCCGCUGCCGCACGCCUCCCGAGGUUCGCCGCCUCGUUUUCCGCAUCGGUAUUUUUUAGUUUUUUCCCGAAAAACCGUUGGUUUUUUUAUAUUCGUUUUUUUAAUAGAUCGGUUUUUCGGUUUAUUUAAAUAGCGAGCGUUCGUCCGUUCGUUCGUUCUAGCGAACGUUCGUCAUUUUUUUCUUUUUCUCGGAUUAAAUCCGCGAUUUUUCUGAUCGCGAUUCCUGAUCCGAUUUUCGUUUUAGUAUAACUUUUCGCUCGUUUAUCGGAAUCAGGCGAUUCAAGCGCCUGGAGUUUCGUCUCGAAACCCUCUAUCCGUUGAACCAACUUAAACAAGUUUUUGCUACUGUAAAAUUUGCCCUAGAUCCAGAUUGCUGGAACGAAGUUGUUUUCUUUCGCUGUUUGACUUUCGUUGCUUCAUUCGAUUUGAUUCUUUUUGCCAACCAGAGUUGUUAAGUUGAACCUUCUGGUUAGAUAUCUCAUUUGAGUUUUACUCGUGCAUUAGAUGAGUACUUAUUGUAUGCUUGUUUGUUUGUCUGUGAUAGAAUACCCGGAGUGCGCCGCUUGUUACUUCGAAUCUCUAGGUUUCGCGGAUUAUCAGCAAGGCAAGUAACACUUUGAUCAUACCUUUCCUACUACCCAGUUUUAUUGCAUUAGAACAAUCCUUACACAUUGCAUGAUUAGGAUCUAAUUAAAUUGUGGGAUGGGAAGUAGUUGAGGUAGUACCUAUUACCUGUUUAUUAUCAAACCUUUGGGAGUUACUUCUACGUUUGCUUAUUAUGCCAUGUUAUACUAGUAGACGUGGAUUGGGUGAGUGAUAUCCAUGACAGAUGUGAGUUUGUUAAUUAAUGGUUUAUCUAAGGUGGCAACUUAAACACACAUCUGGGUGGAUUGAGGUACCUGGGUAUUCCAGGACUUACCUGUUUUCUUUUGGACCGCCACCCAGGCUCAAAGGGAUCAUGAGAUUAUUCAUGCUAGAAACUUCUGUGUGCAGCCACAAGCUAUUAUGGGCUCUAGCAUAGUUGACUAAGUCGUACGAACUCUUACAGCGGUAGACUAACAGAUGUAGGGGAUGUAGGUGGUACGGUCUACCCGAUCGUAAGGUGCUAGCGCUUCUGAAAGACUAUGUCUCGGUCAUCCGUCUUCUCAAACACCUUGUAGUGCGAGAAACCAAACGGAGGCGAUCGAGUCUUGUGGGGAAAAAUGCGCAAACCUCUGUAGAGUGUAAUAAACUAAUCAUGAUUAGCCGUGUCCCCGGUUAUGGACAUCUUGAGUAUCUAGUACCUGGAUUAUCAUGUGAAUCUCAACAUGUUACUCUAAAUUAAUUUUGUUGGGUUUUGUUUAAUGAUGAUGCUUAAUUGGGAUUGAGAAUGCUGUCAACCAUUCUCAAUAUUUAACAACUACCAUGAUAGUUAAAUAAAAUUUAUUCCUUUGAAGUAGGAAAAAAUUGGCUUUACGCAAAAUUCUAACCAUAGAGCUUUCCACCAGCCAAAUAUGCAUAUAGUAUAGCUGUUUCAUUCCAUUACUCUCUAUGUGUUACCUUGCCAGCAUAUUCCAUGUGCUGACCCGUUUUGGGCUGCAACGUUAAUGUUGCAGACUUUUUAAACGACGAUUAAGGAGUUUUUAGGUUGUGGUUCUAUACUCAGUGAUGCCGUUGGAGUUGAUGGACUCACUUAUCUUCCAAGCCUUCCGCUGUUAUCGUUAUUAGAUGGCCUUAAGCCAUAUUUAUUGUAUUAAGUUCUCUAUGAGACACUCGAUGUAAUAAGUGUGUGAUUGCUACUCUGUUAUAAAUCCUCCGAGUACUGUGUGGUGUCAGCAUUACUGAUCCAGGGAUGACACCGGAGCACAGAGCUCAGACUGUUUGAGGUCUGGUCGCUACAGAGAUGGUAUCAGAGCACCCGCUGACUGUAGGACACGACCACUAAGCUAAAGACCUAGAUCACUAUUCACUUUCUUCUCUUCUGACUCCUCAUCCUUUCUACUCUUAGGAUGGCGGAUGCAAGGAACAAGUUCACGCAACUAGAUGAAGAUACACCCUUUGGACGUCACUUGAAGGAAGUCACUAGAUACCUGAACAUAGGAGUACCAAGCUUCACCGGAACCUACAACGCCACUUUACCUGAAGAAGAGCGCUGGAUGAUUCAAGUUCAAGUUCCAGAAAGGACGUUCAUGCCAGUCACUGAGCCCAUAGAGUUUUCUUUUGAUGCACCAACUUGGAGUCUAGGAAAGAGCAUGGCAGCUCACAUCACCAUGUGACGCAUUGGAGAAGUAUACCGCAAGGAUCUCAAGGAUACUAUCUACCAGAUUUGUGGGCGCCGAGAUGAGCACUGGGAGAUGAUCAGCACCAGGAAGGAUAGAUCAAUUGCAGCUUUUAUCCAGGAGCUAAACCAGCACAUUCGACGACAGGAGAACCAGAUGUGUGCCGACAUGAUAGAUCUGAAGAAGGCUAAGACUAGAAUCAAGGAACUGGAGGAAGAACUCAAGGCUACACGUGAAGAUUAUGAAGAGGAAAUUGAAGUAUUGAUGGAGAAGAAUGACGACCUGAUCAAGAAGAUUGGAAUAUUUAUGGGAGGCCCUACACCAGUGGAGGAAGACGAAGAACCUAAGGAGAUUAGCCCGAAAGACUACAUCAUCAUCGACAACACCGAUUCGGAUCCAGAUAGUAGCGAUGAUGACUAUGUUGAUGAAGCUGGAGCAGAUAUUAUGGAGUCUGCAACCAAAGAAUAUUUCUAGUAGACCACCUCAUCAGUAGUAGUAGUCCACCAUGUAAAUAUAGUAGUCCGAGCACUUUUGCGAUAGAUAGAUCGAUUGUAUGCCCUUGUUUGAUUGAAUGAAGUGAAUUGUUUGUUUUUGCCUCAUGUGCAUAUGGGUAGUGUUUUCUCUUUAGACCCCCUCUAUUCUUACAUCUCAUCUUUUCUAAACCCCUCAGAUGCCUCCGAGACGUGACCCCGGAUUUGCCUUUCCACCGGAGCUCACCCAGUUGAUCCAGCAGCAGAACACAUUGAUGCCGUUGCUAGUCCAGAAUCAGAAUCAGGGGAACAACAACAACAACAACAACCCACCACCACCACCACCACCUGUUGAUCACUUAGCCCGAUUUCUUAGGCUGAAUCCGCUGGUGUUUUCCAGUAGCACCGAGCCGAUAGUAGCAGAUGAUUGGCUCCGCAAGACAGCUAGAGAGUUGACCACAGCAGGAUGUACGGAUGCGGAGAAGGUGAAGUUUGCCGCACAUCAGCUUGAGGGACCCGCAGCUUCAUGGUGGGAGAAUUUCACAGCCACUUUCCCAGUCGACACUUGAGGACGGACAGUUGGCCAGUAUGUGAAGGACUUUAGUAAGUUAGCACGUUAUGCACCAGAUGACGUUGCUACGGAUGCAGCUAAGCAGGAGAAGUUUCUGGAAGGACUGAAUGAUGAGUUGAGCAUGCAGUAGAUGGUAGCCACCUUCAACAACUACCAGGAGUUGGUAGAUCGUGCUCUUAUGAUUGAAGGGAAGCAGCAGCACAUUGAGAAUCGCAAGAGGAAGUAUGGACAAGGAAAGUACACUUCAGGAGCUCAGCAGAAGCCACGUUUUACCCCUAGACCGGGAGGACAUUUUCAGCAUACCCAUGGAGGAGGUAGCUCGCACAAUCACAAUGGCACCAAGAAUGGUAAUGGCAAUGGAGGAAGCAACGGCCAGAAUCGCACCAACCCAUCAACCCCAGCCAAGAAGGACCUGAGCCAAGUCACUUGCUUUAAGUGUCAGAAGACCGAACAUUAUGCCAAUGAAUGUCCUGAAGGCCAAAAUGGCAAUGGAAGUUCUGGGAAGAAGCCGAACCCUUUCAACAGGGGACAGGUGAACCACGUUAGCGUGGAGGAGGUUGAAGCUCAGCCCGAUGCAGUAAUAGGUAAGUUUUUGGUUAAGUCAUUUACUGCACUCGUUCUUUUUGACACGGGUGCAUCGCAUUCAUACAUCUCAAGGGGAUUUAUGGAUAAGUAUAACCUAUCAACCCAAGCCCUUAGGUCACCCAUGUUAGUAACCUUGUCUGGAGCAGAAUAUGUGGCUAGUCUAUGGUGUGAUCGGUUACCAUUAAGGAUUGGUAACUAUAUUUUUCCCUCAGACCUAAUAGUAUUGGAAUCUCAAGGAUUGGAUGUGAUAUUAGGCAUGGAUUGGUUAUCAAAGUAUGAAGGAAAUAUUGAAUGCGCUAGUAAGUCAAUUUUGCUUACCACCCCAAAAGGGAGAAGGAUCAAGUAUGUAUCCCGACAUGUGCCGAAGAGGACUCAAGUAAAUUGCUUAACAGGAGUUGUGCAGGAGGAAGUACUAGUGGUAAGGGAUUUCCCUGAAGUAUUUCCAGAGGAGUUGCCAGGCAUGCCACCGGAUAGAGAUAUUGAGUUUUUGAUUGAGCUAUUGCCAGGCACAGGGCCAAUAUCAAAGAGACCAUAUAGGAUGCCAGCAAAGGAUUUGGUGAAAAUUAAGAAGCAGAUUAAGGAGUUACUGGAUAAGGGAUAUAUUCGCCCAAGUUCUUCGCCUUGGGGAUCGCCAGUACUUCUAGUGGAGAAGAAGGAUGGAUCGUUAAGGAUGGUUGUUGAUUAUCGAGGAUUGAACAAAGUAACAAUCAAGAAUAAGUACCCACUACCAAUGAUCAAUGAUCUGUUUGAUCGAUUGCAAGGAGCUAAGCUAUUUUCCAAGACCGACCUGCGAUCAGGAUACCACCAGUUGAAGAUUCGAGAAUAGGAUAUUCCUAAGACAGCUUUUACCACCAGGUAUGGGCUGUACGAGUAUACCAUUAUGUCAUUUGGUCUGACUAACGCACCUGCCUAUUUUAUGAACAUGAUGAACAAAGUAUUUAUGGAGUUUUUGGAUAAGUUCGUAGUAGUGUUCAUUGAUGAUAGCCUGGUUUAUUCAAAGAAUGAAGAGGAACACAAGGAGAAUUUGCGUUUGGUACUUGGAAAGCUCAGAGAACAUUAAUUAUAUGCCAAGUUCAGCAAAUGUGAGUUUUGGUUGAAGGAAGUAGGAUUCCUCGGACACGUUAUAUCGGGAGAAGGUAUAGCAGUUGAUCCCACUAAAGUUGAUACCGUGACCAAGUGGGAAGCACCAACUACAGUGGGAGAGAUCCGGAGUUUUCUUGGACUCGCAGGAUACUACCGGAGAUUUAUUGAGAAUUUCUCAAAGAUUGCGAAGCCUAUGACUGAGUUGUUAAAGAAAGAUACCAAGUUCAUAUGGACGGAGGAAUGUGAGGCUAGUUUCCAACAGUUGAAGAAACGUUUGGUUACCUCACCAGUGUUGAUUUUGCCAGACCAGACCAAAGAUUAUGAGGUGUAUUGUGACGCUUCACGUCGAGGACUUGGAGCAGUGCUUAUGCAGGAAGGGAGAGUUGUUUCAUAUGCCUCAAGACAACUGAAGCCUCAUGAGUUGAAUUAUGCCACGCAUGAUUUGGUGUUAGCAGCCGUGGUGCAUGCUUUGAAAACAUGGAGGCAUUUCCUCAUUGGAAACCAUUGUGAGGUGUACACGGAUCAUAAGAGUUUGAAGUACAUUUUCACACAGAAGGAGUUGAAUCUCAGACAAAGGAGAUGGUUGGAGCUCAUUAAGGAUUAUGAUAUGAGAUUGCAAUACCAUCCCGGAAAGGCUAAUGUAGUAGCUGACGCCUUAAGCCGUAAGAGCCAUGUCAAUACGUUAAUGACGGGAGAAAUACCCAAGGAGUUAGCAGAAAAUCUUCGUGAACUGUGUUUGGAAAUAGUUCCGAGAGGCUAUGUAGCAGCACUGGAGAUUCAGUCAACCUUGAUGGAUAGAAUCAGAGAAGCUUAGAAUACUGACGAAGAGAUUGCCGCCGUAAAGGAGAAACUGAGCAAAGGAAAAGCUAAAGGAUUUCGUGAGGAUGAGCACGACACCCUAUGGUUUGAAGACCGUGUUUAUGUGCCCAAUGACCCGGAGAUCAGGAAGUUGAUGCUGCAAGAGGCACACGAUUCACCGUAUUCAGUUCACCCAGGAAAUACCAAGAUGUAUUUGGAUUUGAAGGAUAUUUUCUGGUGGACCGGAAUGAAGAAGGAUAUUGUGGUGUACGUAGCAGUUUGUGAUGUAUGCCAGAGAGUAAAGGCAGAGCAUCAAAAGCCAGCAGGAUUGUUACAACCAUUGCCGAUACCCGAAUGUAAGUGGAAUAAGCUAGGCAUGGAUUUUAUCACAGGAUUACCCAGGACCCGUUCAGGCUAUGACUCAAUUUGGGUUGUAGUUGAUCGAUUGACGAAGGUAGCUCAUUUCAUCCCGGUAAAGACCACUUACAACAGUGUUAAGUUGGCAAAGAUAUACAUGACCAGGAUCGUAUGUUCGCAUGGAGUUCCAAGGAGUAUCGUAUCAGAUAGAGGAACCCAAUUUACCUCAAAGUUCUGGAAGCAGUUGCACGAAACUUUGGGUACCAGGCUAGAAUUCAGUACAGCUUUUCAUCCACACACAGAUGGACAGGCCGAGAGAGUCAAUCAGAUUUUGGAGGAUAUGCUGAGAGCUUGUGCGCUAGAUUACGGAUCUAGUUGGGACGACAAUUUGCCAUAUGAAGAGUUCUCUUACAACAAUAGUUACCAAACCAGUUUAAAGAUGGCCCCUUUCGAAGCCUUGUACGGAAGGAGGUGCAGGACACCGUUGUCAUGGGACGAAGUUGGAGACCGCCAGUUGUUUGGACCUGACUUGAUUAAAGAGUCUGAACAGAAGGUGAAGUUGAUUCGCGAUAGGCUCAGGGUAGCCCAGUCCAGACAGAAGAGCUAAGCAGAUUCUAAACGCAAGGAGACCAUUUACGAAGUCGGAGAUAGAGCUUAUCUUCGAGUAUCUCCACUUCGGGGAACAAAGCGUUUUGGAGUUAAAGGGAAGUUAGCGCCAUGAUUUGUAGGACCAUAUCGAGUUUUGGGGCGUAUGGGAGAAGUGGCCUACAAGUUGGAAUUACCUGAAGGAUUGUCAGGAGUUCAUGAUGUGUUCGACGUUUCCCAGUUGAAGAAGUGUCAUGCGGAGAUGGCUGACAUACCGUUGAGAGACACAGUGCCUUUGGAAACUAUUCAGUUGGAUAACAAUUUGACCUAUGAGGAAAAACCCAUUAAGUGUUGGGGAACGUAGUAAUUUCAAAAAAUUUCCUACGCACACGCAAGAUCAUGGUGAUGCAUAGCAACGAGAGGGGAGAGUGUUGUCUAUGUACCCUCGUAGACCGUUCAUGGAAGCGUUAUAUCAACGCAGUUGAUGUAGUCGUACAUCUUCACGUCCGACCGAUCCAAGUACCGAAAGCACGGCACCUCCGAGUUCUGCACACGUUCGGGUCGGUGACGUCCUCGCCUUCUCAAUCCAGCAUGAGGUGUGAAGUAGUAGAUGAGUUCCGGCAGCACGACGGCGUGGUGACGGUGUUGGUGAAGAACAAUCUCCGCAGGGCUUCGCCUAAGCACUACAAAAACUAUGACAGAGGAUAAACUAGAGGGGACGGGGUUGCCAGCACACGGCUUGGUGUUUCUUGAUAUGUCUUUGGUGCUAGCCCUGCCCCUCUAUUUAUAUGUUGAGCCAUGGGGUCGAAACUUGGAGUAAAAGCCUCCACAAAGUCGGUUUCACCUGAAAGGCAAGAGUCCUUCUCGGACUCCAGGGCCAGACGCCAGGGUUCCCGGCGUCUGGACCCAGACGCCAGGGACCCUGGCGUCUAGCCCCUGGACUCCACAAAACUUCCUUUUGCGCUUUCCAAAAACCUUGUGGGCUUUCCCCUUUGGCCCAAAUAAAGUGUUCUCGUACCCAAACAUUUCGGGAAACAUCCGGAAACCCUUCCGAUGAUUUCCGGAACCCUUCCGGUGACCAAACACUAUUAUCCCAUAUAUCAAACUUUUUCUCCGGACCAUUUCGGAGUUCCUCGUCAUGUCCGUGAUCUCAUCCCGGACUCCGAACAACAUUCGGUCACCAACAUACAUAACUCACAUAGUACUAUAUCGGCAACGAACAUUAAGCGUGCGGACCCUACGGGUUCGAGAACUAUGUAGACAUGACCGAGACACCUCUCUGGUCAAUAACCAAUAGCGGGACCUGGAUGCCCAUAUUGGCUCCUACAUAUUCUAUGAAGAUCUUUGUCGGUCAGACCGCAUAACAACAUACGUUGUUCCCUUUGUCAUCGGUAUGUUACUUGCCCGAGAUUCGAUCGCCAGUAUCUCAAUACCUAGUUCAAUCUCGUUACCGGCAAGUCUCUUUACUCGUUCUGUAAUACAUCAUCUCGCAACUAACUCAUUAGUUGCAAUGCUUGCAGGGCUUAUGUGAUGUGCAUUACUGAGAGGGCCCAGAGAUACCUCUCCGACAAUCGGAGUGACAAAUCCUAAUCUCAAAAUACGCCAACCCAACAUGUACCUUUGGAGACACCUGUAGAGCACCUUUAUAAUCACCCAGUUACGUUGUGACGUUUGGUAGCACACAAAGUGUUCCUCCGGCAAACGGGAGUUGCAUAAUCUCAUAGUCAUAGGAACAUGUAUAAGUCAUGAAGAAAGCAAUAGCAACAUACUAAACGAUCGGGUGCUAAGCUAAUGGAAUGGGUCAUGUCAAUCAGAUCAUUCACCUAAUGAUGUGAUCCCGUUAAUCAAAUAACAACUCUUUGUCCAUGGUUAGGAAACAUAACCAUCUUUGAUUAAUGAGCUAGUCAAGUAGAGGCAUAGUAGUGACACUCUGUUUGUCUAUGUAUUCACACAUGUAUUAUGUUUCCGGUUAAUACAAUUCUAGCAUGAAUAAUAAACAUUUAUCAUGAUAUAAGGAAAUAAAUAAUAACUUUAUUAUUGCCUCUAGGGCAUAUUUCCUUCAGUCUCCCACUUGCACUAGAGUCAAUAAUCUAGAUCACAUCACCAUGUGAUUAACAUCGAUAGUUCACAUCAUCAUGUGAUUAACAACAUAGUUUUACAUCGCCAUGUGACCAACACCCAAAGGGUUUACUAGAUUCAGUAAUCUAGUUCACAUCGCUUAUGUGAUUAACACCCAAAGAGUACUAAGGUGUGAUCAUUUUUUGCUUGUGAGAGAAGUUUAGUCAACGGGUCUGCCAUAUUCAGAUCCGUAUGUAUUUUGCAAAUUUCUAUCUCAAUGAUGCUCUGCACGGAGCUACUCUUAGCUAAUUGCUCCCACUGUCAAUAUGUAUCCAGAUUGAGACUUAGAGUCAUCUAGAUCAGUGUCAAAAUCUGCAUCGACGUAACCCUUUACGACGAACCCUUUUUGUGACGUCCAUAAUUGAGAAACAUAUCCUUAUUCCACUAAGGAUAAUUUUGACCGUUGUCCAGUGAUCUACUCCUAGAUCACUAUUGUACUCCCUUGCCAAAAUCAUUGUAGGGUAUACAAUAGAUCUGGUACACAGCAUGGCAUACUUUAUAGAACCUAUGGCCAAGGCAUAGGGAAUGACUUUCAUUCUCUUUCUAUCUUCUGUCGUGGUCGUGUUUUGAGUCUUACUCAAUUUCACACCUUGUAACAUAGGCAAGAACUCUUUCUUUGACUGUUCCAUUUUGAACUACUUCAAAAUCUUGUCAAGGUAUGUACUCAUUGAAAAAACUUAUCAAGCAUUUUGAUCUAUCUCUAUAGAUCUUGAUGCUCAAUAUGUAAGUAGCUUCACCGAGGUCUUUCUUUGAAAAACUCCUUUCAAAUACUCCUUUAUGCUUUGCAGAAUAAUUCUACAUUAUUUUCGAUCAACAAUAUGUCAUUCACAUAUACUUAUCAGAAAUGCUGUAGUGCUCCCACUCACUUUCUUGUAAAUACAGGCUUCACCGCAAGUCUGUAUAAAACUAUAUGCUUUGAUCAACUUAUCAAAGCGUGUAUUCCAACUCCGAGAUGCUUGCACCAGUCCAUAGAUGAAUCGCUGGAGCUUGCAUAUUUUGUUAGCACCUUUAGGAUUGACAAAACCUUCUGGUUGCAUCAUAUACAACUCUUGUUUAAUAAAUCCAUUAAGGAAUGCAGUUUUGUUUAUCCAUUUGCCAGAUUUCAUAAAAUGCGGCAAUUGCUAACAUGAUUCGGACAGACUUAAGCAUAGAUACGAGUGAGAAACUCUCAUCGUAGUCAACACCUUUAAACUUGUCAAAUUUUUUUUGCGACAAUUCUAGCUUUGUAGAUAGUAACACUACUAUCAGCGUCCGUCUUCCUCUUGAAGAUCCAUUUAUUUUCUAUGGCUUGCCGAUCAUCGGGCAAGUCAACCAAAGUCUACACUUUGUUCUCAUACAUGGAUCCCAUCUCAGAUUUCAUGGCCUCCAGCCAUUUUGCGGAAUCUGGGCUCAUCAUCACUUCCUCAUAGUUCACAAGUUCAUCAUGGUCUAGUAACAUGACUUCCAGAACAGGAUUACCGUACCACUCUGGUGCGGAUCUCACUCUGGUUUACCUACGAGAUUCGGUACUAACUUGAUCUGAAGUUACAUGAUCAUCAUCAUUAGCUUCCUCACUAAUUGGUGUAGUAGUCACAAGAACAGAUUUAUGUGAUGAACUACUUUCUAAUAAGGGAGAUGGUACAAUUACCUUAUCAAGUUUUCUACUUUCCUCCCACUCACUUCUUUCGAGAGAAACUCCUUCUCUAGAAAGUAUCCAUUCUCAGCAACGAAUGUCUUGCCUUCGGAUCUGUGAUAGAAGGUGUACCCAAUAGUCUCCUUUGGGUAUCCUAUGAAGACAUAUUUCUCCGAUUUGGGUUUGAGCUUAUCAGCAUGAAACUUUUUCAUAUAAGCAUCACAACCCCAAACUUUAAGAAACGACAACUUUGGUUUGUUGCCAAACCACAGUUCAGAUUGUGUCGUCUCAACGGACUUAGAUGGUGCCCCUUUUUAACGUGAAUGCAGCUGUCUUUAAUGCAUAACCUAAAAAAUGAUAGUGGUAAAUCGGUAAGAAACAUAAUAGAUUUGCACUAUAUCUAAUAAAGUACGGCUAUGACAUUCGGACACACCAUUAUGCUGUGGUGUUCCAGGUGGCACGAAUUUGUGAAACUAUUCCACAUUGUUUUAAUUGAAGACCAAACUCGUAACUCAAAUAUUUGUCUCCGUGAUCAGAUCGUAGAAACCUUAUUUUCUUGUCACAAUGAUUUUCCACUUCACUCUGAAAUUCUUUGAACUUUUCAAAUGUUUCAGACUUAUGUUUCAUCAAGUAGAUAUACCCAUAUUUGCUCAAAUCAUCUGUGAAGGUCAGAAAAUAAUGAUACCCGCUGCAAGCCUUGAUAUUCAUCGGACCACAUACAUCAGUAUGUAUGAUUUCCAACAAAUCUGUUGCUUGCUCCAUUGUUCCGGAGAACGGCAUUUUAGUCAUCUUGCCCAAGAGACAUGGUUCGCAAGCAUCAAGUGAUUCCAAAAUCCCAUCAGCAUGGAGUUUCUUCAUGUGCUUUACACCAAUAUGACCUAAACGGCAGUGCCACAAACAAGUUGCACUAUCAUUAUUAACUUUGCAUCUUUUGGCUUCAAUAUUAUGAAUAUGUGUAUCAUUACAAUCGAGAUCCAACAAACCAUUUUCAUUGGUGUGUAUGACCAUAGAAGGUUUUAUUCAUGUAAACAGAACAACAAUUGUUCUCUAACUUAAAUGAAUAACCGUAUUGCAAUAAACAUGAUCAAAUCAUAUUUAUGCUCAACGCAAACACCAAAUAACACUUAUUUUAGGUUCAACAUUAAUCCCGAAAGUAUAGGGAGUGUGCGAUGAUGAUCAUAUCAAUCUUGGAACCACUUCCAAUACACAUCGUCACUUCACCCUUAACUAGUCUCUGUUUAUUCUGCAACUCCCGUUUCGAGUUACUAAUCUUAGCAACUGAACUAGUACCAAAUACUGAGGGGUUGCUAUGAACACUAGUAAAGUACACAUCAAUAACAUGUAUAUCAAAUAUACCUUUGUUUACUUUGCCAUCCUUUCUUAUCCACAAAAUACUUGGGGUAGUUCCGCUUCCAUUGACAAAUCCCUUUGCAGUAGAAGCACUUUGUCUCAGGCUUAGGACCAGACUUGGGUUUCUUCACUUGAGCAGCAACUUGCUUGCCAUUCUUCUUGAAGUUCCCCUUCUUCCUUUUGCCCUUUUCUUGAAACUAGUGGUCUUGUCUACCAUCAACACUUGAUGUUUUUCUUGAUUUCUACCUUUGUCGAUUUUAGCACCACGAAGAGCUUGGGAAUCGUUUUCGUUAUCCCUUGCAUACUAUAGUUCAUCACGAAUUUCUACUAACUUGGUGAUGGUGACUAGAGAAUUCUGUCAAUCACUAUAUUAUCUGGAAGAUUAACUCCCACUUGAUUCAAGCGAUUGUAGUACCCAGACAAUCUGAGUACAUGCUCACUGCUUGAGCGAUUCUCCUCCAUCUUGUAGCUAUAGAACUUGUUGGAGACUUCAUAUCUCUCAACUCGGGUAUUUGCUUGAAAUAUUAACUUCAACUCCUGGAACAUCUCAUAUGGUCCAUGACGUUCAAAACGUCUUUGAAGUCCCGAUUCUAAGCCGUUAAGCAUGGUGCACUAAACUAUCAAGUAGUCAUCAUAUUGAGCUAGCCAAACGUUCAUAACGUCUGCAUCUGCUCCUGCAAUAGGUCUGUCACCUAGCGGUGCAUCAAGGACAUAAUUUUUCUGUGCAGCAAUGAGGAUAAACCUCAUAUCACGGAUCCAAUCCGCAUCAUUUCUACUAACAUAUUUCAACAUAGUUUUUCUCUAGGAACAUAUCAAAACAAACAUAGGGAAGCAACAAUGCGAGCUAUUGAUCUACAACAUAGAUAUGAUAAUACUACCAGGACUAAGUUCAUGAUAAAUUUAAGUUCAAUUAAUCAUAUUACUUAAGAACUCCCACUUAGAUAGACAUCCCUCUAAUCAUCUAAGUGAUCACGUGAUCCAAAUCAACUAAACCAUGUCCGAUCAUCACGUGAGAUGGAGUAGUUUUCAAUGGUGAACAUCACUAUGUUGAUCAUAUCUACUAUAUGAUUCACGCUCGACCUUUCGGUCUCCAGUGUUCCGAGGCCAUAUCUACAUAUGCUAGGCUCGUCAAGUUUAACCUGAGUAUUCCGCCUGUGCAAAACUGUCUUGCACCCGUUGUAGAUGGACGUAGAGCUUAUCACACCCGAUCAUCAUGUGGUGUCUGGGCACGACGAACUUUGGCAACGGUGCAUACUCAGGGAGAACACUUUUAUCUUGAAAUUUAGUGAGAGAUCAUCUUAUAAAGCUACCGUCGAAAUAAGCAAAACAAGAUGUAUAUUAGAUAAACAUCACAUGCAAUCAAAAUAUGUGACAUGAUAUGGCCAUGAUCAUCUUGUGCCUUUGAUCUCCAUCUCCAAAGUACCGUCAAUGAUCUCUAACGUCACCGGCAUGACACCAUGAUCUCCAUCAUCUUGAUCUAUAUAAAUGUGUCGUCACGUGGACGUCUCGCCAACUAUUGCUCUUGCAACUAUUGCUAUCGCAUAGUGAUAAAGUAAAGCAAUUGUUUGACGCUUGCAUCUUAUGCAAUAGAGAGACGACAAUAAGGCAUUUGCCAGUUGCCGAUAACUUCCACAAAAACAUGAUCAUCUCAUACAACAACUUAUAUCUCAUCACGUCUUGACCAUAUCACAUCACAACAUGCCCUACAAAAACAAGUUAGACGUCCUCUACUUUGUUUGUUGCAAGUUUUACGUGGCUGCUACGGGCUUAAGCAAGAACCAAACUUAUCUACGCAUCAAAACCACAAUGAUAGUUUGUCAAGUUGGUUCUAUUUUAACCUUCGCAAGGACCGGGCGUAGCCACACUCGGUUCAACUAAAGUUGGAGAAACUGACACCCGCUAGUCACCCGUGUGCAUAGCACGGCGGCAAAACCAGUCUCGCGUAAGCGUACGCGUAAUGUCGGUCCAGGCCGCUUCAUCCAACAAUACCGCCGAACCAAAGUAUGACAUGCUGGUAAGCAGUAUGACUUAUAUCGCCCACAACUCACUUGUGUUCUACUCAUGCAUAUAACAUCAACACAUAAAACCUAGGCUCUGAUGCCACUAUUGGGGAACAUAGUAAUUUCAAAAAAAAUCCUAUGCACACGCAACAUCAUGGUGAUGCAUAGCAACGAGAGGGGAGAGUGUUGUCUACGUACCCUCGUAGACCGUUCACGGAAGCGUUAUAUCAACACGGUUGAUGUAGUCGUACGUCUUCACGUCCGACCGAUCCAAGUACCGAAAGCACGGCACCUCCGAGUUCUGCACACGUUCGGCUCGGUGACGUCCUCGCCUUCUCGAUCCAGCAAGAGGGGCGAAGUAGUAGAUGAGUUCUGGCAGCACGACAGCGUGGUGACGGUGUUGGUGAAGAACAAUCUCCGCAGGGCUUCGCCUAAGCACUACGAAAACUAUGACGGAGGAUAAACUAGAGGGGAUGGGGUUGCCGGCACACGGCUUGGUGUUUCUUGAUGUGUCUUUGGUGCUAGCCCUGCCCCUCUAUUUAUAUGUUGAUCCCUGGGGUCUAAACUUGGAGUAAAAGCCUCCACAAAGUCGGUUUCACCCGAAAGGCAAGAGUGCUUCUCGGACUCCAAGGCCAGAUGCCAGGGUUCCCGGCGUCUGGACCCAGGCGCCAGGGACCCUGGCGUCUGGCCCCUGGACUCCGCAAAACUUCCUUUUGUGCUUUCCAAAAACCUUGGGGGCUUUCCCCUUUGGCCCAAAUAAAGUGUUCUCGUACCCAAACAUUUCGGGAAACAUCCGGAACCCCUUCCGGUGAUUUCCGGAACCCUUCCGGUGACCAAACACUAUUAUCCCAUAUAUCAAACUUUGUCUCCGGACCAUUUUGGAGUUCCUUGUCAUGUCCGUGAUCUCAUCCCAGACUCCGAACAACAUUCGGUCACCAACAUACAUAACUCACAUAGUACUAUAUCAUCAACGAAUGUUAAGCGUGCGGACCCUACGGGUUCGAGAACUAUGUAGACAUGACCGAGACACCUCUCUGGUCAAUAACCAAUAGCGGGACCUGGAUGCCCAUAUUGGCUCCUACAUAUUCUACGAAGAUCUUUAUCGGUCAGACCGCAUAACAACAUACGUUGUUCCCUUUGUCAUCGGUAUGUUACUUGCCCGAGAUUCGAUCGUCGGUAUCUCAAUACCUAGUUCAAUCUCGUUACCGGCAAGUCUCUUUACUCGUUCCGUAAUACAUCAUCUCGCAACUAACUCAUUAGUCGCAAUGCUUGCAAGGCUUAUGUGAUGUGCAUUACCGAGAGGGCCCAGAGAUACCUCUCCGACAAUCGGAGUGACAAAUCCUAAUCUCGAAAUACGCCAACCCAACAUGUACCUUUGGAGACACCUGUAGAGCACCUUUAUAAUCACCCAGUUACGUUGUGACGUUUGGUAGCACACAAAGUGUUCCUCCGGCAAACGGGAGUUGCAUAAUCUCAUAGUCAUAGGAACAUGUAUAAGUCAUGAAGAAAGCAAUAGCAACAUACUAAACGAUCGGGUGCUAAGCUAAUGGAAUGGGUCAUGUCAAUCAGAUCAUUCACCUAAUGAUGUGAUCCCGUUAAUCAAAUAACAACUCUUUGUCCAUGGUUAGGAAACAUAACCAUCUUUGAUUAACGAGCUAGUGAAGUAGAGGCAUACUGGUGACACUCUGUUUGUCUAUGUAUUCACACAUGUAUUAUGUUUCCGGUUAAUACAAUUCUAGCAUGAAUAAUAAACAUUUAUCAUGAUAUAAGGAAGUAAAUAAUAACUUUAUUAUUGCCUCUAGGGCAUAUUUCCUUUAUUAAGAUCCUCGAGUUUGCCAGCUGAGUCACCCGCAGCAAGGUUAUCAAGUUUUGCAAAGUUCAAUGGAGCAACCACACAUAGGAUGAAGCCACCUGGGAGUGAGAGGAAGAUUUGCUUAAGGACCACCCUCACCUAUUUUCUAGCCAACCCGAAUCUCGAGGGCGAGAUUCAUCUUAAGGGGGGUAGGUUUGUAACAUCCCAAAUUUUCAAUUUGGAAUGUUAUACAUUAGAUCAUCAUUCCAUAUCAUAUUUUAUUUUGCAUUUUGGUUGAUCCUAGAAAUUCUACGCAACUCAAUGACCCACGGAGAGAGUUGGGGAUUUCGUUAUUUUCAUAUUUGAGUUUUCUCAAAUUUUGAGAAUAGGAUCAUUUGAUUUUAAUUAUUUUAUCAUCAGUUAUUUCUAUUACAAAAAUAUGAUAGAGGGAAUAAAAUGACUUUCCCAAAUUAAAGAAAUAUUAAGGAUUUAAUAAUAAAAUCAAAUAAGAUUCUAUUUCGGAGUUUUUCGGUGUUUUAUUUGAAUUUAGGAAAAAUGUGCGUUUUUCAAAAUUGCAUUUAUGUCCCAAAUAAAUGUUCACCUUGUGCGUCUUGAUUUUAGAAGCCCGUGAAAAUUUAUUUCGGAAUUUUUGGAGUCGUUUAGUAUUUCUUUUUAUUUUUCUUCUGCGCGUAAUUAUUAAAAAAAACGAACCGACCUACGGGCCGUGUCCGACUAGGUCUCCGGCCCGGCUAGCCUUUAUAAGCCGGGGGAGGCCCAGCCCCAGCCGAACCCUAAGCCGCNNNNNNNNNNNNNNNNNNNNNNNNNNNNNNNNNNNNNNNNNNNNNNNNNNNNNNNNNNNNNNNNNNNNNNNNNNNNNNNNNNNNNNNNNNNNNNNNNNNNNNNNNNNNNNNNNNNNNNNNNNNNNNNNNNNNNNNNNNNNNNNNNNNNNNNNNNNNNNNNNNNNNNNNNNNNNNNNNNNNNNNNNNNNNNNNNNNNNNNNNNNNNNNNNNNNNNNNNNNNNNNNNNNNNNNNNNNNNNNNNNNNNNNNNNNNNNNNNNNNNNNNNNNNNNNNNNNNNNNNNNNNNNNNNNNNNNNNNNNNNNNNNNNNNNNNNNNNNNNNNNNNNNNNNNNNNNNNNNNNNNNNNNNNNNNNNNNNNNNNNNNNNNNNNNNNNNNNNNNNNNNNNNNNNNNNNNNNNNNNNNNNNNNNNNNNNNNNNNNNNNNNNNNNNNNNNNNNNNNNNNNNNNNNNNNNNNNNNNNNNNNNNNNNNNNNNNNNNNNNNNNNNNNNNNNNNNNNNNNNNNNNNNNNNNNNNNNNNNNNNNNNNNNNNNNNNNNNNNNNNNNNNNNNNNNNNNNNNNNNNNNNNNNNNNNNNCGCCACCCCGCCGCGCCGCCGCCGUCGCGCCCCGCCCGAGGUUCGCCGCCUCGUUUUCCGCGCCAUUUUUUAGUUUUUUUUGAAAAACCGUCGGUUUUUCAUCGGUUUUUUUAGAUUUGGUUUUUUAAUAGAUCGGUUUUUCCGGUUUAUUUAAAUAGUGAGCGUUCGUCCGUUCGUUCGUUCUAGCGAACGUUCGUCGUUUUUUUCUUUUUCUCGGAUUAAAUCUGCGAUUUUUCUGAUCGUGAUUCAUGAUCCGAUUUUCGUUUUAGUAUAACUUUUCGCUCGUUUAUCGGAAUCAGGCGAUUCAAGCGCUUGGAGUUUCGUCUCGAAACCCUCACUACUAGGGAAAAGCCUAGCAGCAGCGCGGGUUUUAGGCCUAUCAGCAGCGCGGGUACCCGCGCUACCAAUAAGGCACUACAGCUAAUAGUUAGUAAUAGCGUGGGUUGAACCCGCGCUACUACUAACAAAGUUAGUAGUAGCGUGUGCCACCCACACUACUGCUAUUUAGUACCCGCGCCACUACUAACAAAAUAGUAGCAGCGUGUCCAUACUACCAACGCUACUAGUAUCCUAAAUACUAGUAGCGCGCAGUCUUUUCCCACGCCACUACUAACUAAUUUAUAAUUAAAAAAAUAAAAUCCACCAAUUCCAUUUUAUGCAUACAGUUCCCAGUAAACACAACAAUAGUGAGCACUGCUGGGCUCCUAUUUCAUGGUUAACCAGAAACCGAAGGAAAUAAAUCAGCCAAAAAACCUCAUUAUGCAUUGCAACUCACAAAUGACCACUUCAAAGAACAUGCAAGUAUCUAUGUCAUUAACAAUUGCAAACAUAAGUUUCUUUUUACUAUAGUUGUUGUAUGUACUAUCACACAGUUCCUCAUUCUGUUCUCACUCAAUAAUAAUAAAAAUGAAAAGAGAAGAUAGAGAUAAUCUGCCGCAAUUGCACUUCGGUGUCAUGGAUUCAGUCUGCCGCUUCAACAUCUCAUUAUCCGGCAGCACUCUGUCGCUAUCUUCUACCUAUGAAUAAAAACAGACCUUGUUAGAGAAGCAAAUGUGAAACCUUAUUACAACAUGUAUGCUAAGUCGCUAACCCAUAGAGACAGCUAGAACAAAUGUGGAAACUUUCCAUGUUGCCGAGCAAGUAUAUUAACUAGACAAAGUUAGAUGACAGUGAAGCUUAAAGCUGCAGUAAGAAAUAUUAGAUAUACACAUUUUUAAAAUCAACCUCAGAAGUGGAUACUCUAGUAGACCUACAAGAGCAGAUAUGGUAGUAACCAAAAUCCUAUAAAGAUUCGAGGUUAAAGAUUAUAAAUCCAAUUUGUCAUUAGCAUAAAAAUAUUAGUUCCAUGAAGAAGUUUGUCAAGAGAUAUUUUCUAGUGUUUCUAAGACAGUGACUGAAACAUAAUGAAAGAAAACACGUUUCUGCAUUUUAAUUAGGGGGAGCUUUAGUUCUAAAAUACUGGAACUGUGACUGAAUGAUCAUAUAUACUAUUAGAAAAACAGACCAAAAUCCCCGCAGAACAAAACAGACCAAAAAAAUUAACUUCCUACUUAUAGUGGCAAGAAAAUCUUAUAUGAAUGUGUUAUAAUAAAUAAUGCUAACCAUGAAGUCUUCUUCCAUAUAACAAAGGAGUGACGAAACCAAAAAACCUGUAAUUCAAGUAUGACAAGCAGUUAGUUAAUUAUUUGCAUGUCAACAGUUCUAAUGUCUAGCUACAGAUCUUCAAAGUAAAGAUUGUGAACUCUAUUAGACAUGAUUAUAUCAAUUAGACCAAAUAGAAAAUAAUUCAAUAUGUUGUAUAUCCAUUAAACGAAGUUCAAUCUAUCUUCUGAUUAUUAGUGUUUUAGUUAGGUGAUUAGUCCUUCUACGGCCGCCGGUUAAUAGGUGAGCCAUGACUUUUUACAGUAAAAAAUGCAAAGGAAAUAACAAGUUAGUAUUUUUCCAAAUCUAAUUAUACGGCCACGUUGAUCAUACCUUACUAAUUCUGGCCGGACACUAGUAAAACAAGAAAAACUCCCAUGCUUUAUCGGUGCACAUUCACCAUUUGAUAGUGUGAUCAUUUGAGAUCACUAAAUCAUCUUCUAUACGACGUAGGCCAGUAACAUUUACAUCAGCUUGCUCACUUGUAGCUGCUGGAGCAACCAAAACAUCCUGAGCCAAUACAGAGUUGCUGCUCAGGCCAAGAACAACAGCUGUAACAAGACUGGAAUGAGGAUUGCCAUGGUACCAAAUAUGAUAUUUAUUUCAUUAAAUCAGAUGGAGGAGGCUGCAUAUGCAGAGAGCAGCCAUCUCCAUCAUCCUUUGAAACCACUUGACAAGGUCCAAUGCUCUGUCACUGUAAUCCCUCUUCUUCUGUAAAUUGGUCUGCAAGAACUCCUAUCACUGUAAAAAAUUUGCGACAGCAAACAUAUACUACAAGGACAUAUCCACGACGCGCUUAACACUAGAGAGAGAUGCUACAGCCAAACAAAUCAUGACCAAACACAUAUCAUCCAGUCCAGGACUUGCUCACUGCUAUUUUGCUUGCAGAUUUUGCCUUCAGGUUACAGCAACGAACUGAAAAUAAUACUACAUAGAAAUCACAAGUAGUCUUUAGCCUACGUGCAAAUACAAAUACUUGGUUCUCUCAACCACAUAAAAGUGCAAAUACAAAUCACAAUACAAACUGUCCGCAGAUAAUGCACAAUGCACGACACUCUUCUUUCCCGAUCAAACUUUUGAUUCAUAUGGGAUCCCUAUAAGCAACACAUUGGCUCGUUGCGACAAGAACAAAAUUCAGAAGUGUGGUAGGGGUAUCAGUAAUUUUAGGAGGAAAUUAUUGGCGCUUAAUUGAGGAAACUGAGCGUGCACGUGGUGUUUCUUGGACUUACUAAUUUUCUAUCUUGAGUUGGACUUCAAGAUGUUUUUAUUUUCUUUGAGAAACAGAAUGAGACGUUGACUAUCAUGAUUGUGUGUGUUAAUUCAAAAUGAUCCGGUCUCCGGAUAUCUAUUCUGUCACUUUUCGAACACUUUGUGGUGUCAGGUUGGUUACAUGCUGGAAGGAAGCAUCGAACUUGUUGUUUAUUAAUAUAUAUAUAUAUAUAUAUAUAUAUAUAUAUAUAUAUGCAAAAACGGGUAGCAAUUAGCCUAAUCAGUGUCUGUUGGGACGUCAAUCCCUGCAUAAAAGUGCAGUAGUUUUCUUCAGUGGAAUCCUUGUGACAUUCCAGUUUUGGUCUCCCAUGUGACCAACCAACCAGAGAUCUAAAUAGUGCAGCAUCUACGUACAGAACAUGAAUAAACUUGAUCGAUUGCCUUGGGCAAGAUAGAGAUCUGUGAAGAGGGAGGAAGGAGAGGAGAGGAGAGGAGGGCAUACCUCGGCUAGGAGUUGCUGCUGUGGGAGGCACAGGUGGAGCCGUCGUGUACCUCGCCGGCUCCAACAUCCAUGCGUGGCGUCGGCCCACAACAGGGAGGCGUCGGCGGUCUCUUGUGACCUGCGUUGCGUGAGGAAUCCGGCCAAAUUGAAUCAGAAAAUGGCAAUUCAAAUUGAAUCGAACAACAUCCGAGAUCUGGCCAAAUCGUGUCCAACACACACACACACACACACACGCAUGAAGGGAAGGUAGGGGGGAGAGACCUCCAUGGCGUCGGUCGGAGCACCAUCUCCAUCUCUCUCCCUCACGCGGGCAUACUUAGGAAGACAUACGAUCAAGGGCGAAGAGACCUCCGGCGGUCGUAUGANNNNNNNNNNNNNNNNNNNNNNNNNNNNNNNNNNNNNNNNNNNNNNNNNNNNNNNNNNNNNNNNNNNNNNNNNNNNNNNNNNNNNNNNNNNNNNNNNNNNNNNNNNNNNNNNNNNNNNNNNNNNNNNNNNNNNNNNNNNNNNNNNNNNNNNNNNNNNNNNNNNNNNNNNNNNNNNNNNNNNNNNNNNNNNNNNNNNNNNNNNNNNNNNNNNNNNNNNNNNNNNNNNNNNNNNNNNNNNNNNNNNNNNNNNNNNNNNNNNNNNNNNNNNNNNNNNNNNNNNNNNNNNNNNNNNNNNNNNNNNNNNNNNNNNNNNNNNNNNNNNNNNNNNNNNNNNNNNNNNNNNNNNNNNNNNNNNNNNNNNNNNNNNNNNNNNNNNNNNNNNNNNNNNNNNNNNNNNNNNNNNNNNNNNAAGGGAGUCCAGCGGUGAGUGGGUUGGGAGAGGAGAGGAGGUUGGGGAUCUGGAUCGGGCUCUGUGGUUUUUUUUUGAGACAGACGGGAGUGGGUGGACAGGGACGGUUGGUGGGGUGGGGGUGGGGAUCGGGCCGGGGUGGACACGCUUAGUAGUAGCAUGGGGUCUCACCUGCGCUACUACUACUUACAUAGUAGUAGCGCCGGUUUUAUACCCCUCGCUACUACUAUGGCCUAUCCCGGGGGCAUUGUUGGAGACCAUUUAGUAGCAGCGCGGGUUUAUACCCCUCGCUACUACUAUCAACUUAGUAGUAGCAUGGUUUUUAUACCCCUCGCUACUACUAAUUAGCAGUAGCGCUCCUUUUUAAACCGUGCUGCUGGUAAACUUCUGUGUAUAAGGUUUUCCCUAGUAGUGCCUCUAUCCGUUUAACCAACUUAAACAAGUUUUUGCUACUGUAAAAUUUGCCCUAGAUCCAGAUUGCUAGAAUGAAGUUGUUUUCUUUCGCCAUUUGACUUUUGUUGCUUCGUUCAAUUUGAUUCUUUUUGUCAACCAGAGUUGUUAAGUUGAACCUUCUGGUUAGAUCUCUUAUUUGAGUUUUACCCGUGCAUUAGAUGAGUACUUAUUGUAUGCUUGUUUGUUUGUCUGCGAUAGAAUACCCGGAGUGCGCCGCUUGUUACUUCGAAUCUCUAGGUUUCGCGGAUCAUCAGCAAGGCAAGUAACACUUUGAUCAUACCUUUCCCACUACCCAGUUUUAUUGCAUUAGAACAAUCCUCACACAUUGCAUGAUUAGGAUCUAAUUAAAUUGUGGAAUGGGAAGUAGUUGAGGUAGUACCUAUUACCUGUUUAUUAUCAAACCUUUGGGAGUUACUUCUACGUUUGCUUAUUAUGCCAUGCUAUGCUAGUAGACGUGGAUUGGGUGAGUGAUAUCCAUGAUAGAUGUGAGUUUGUUAAUUAAUGGUUUAUCUAAGGUGGCAACUUAAACACACAUCUGGGUGGAUUGAGGCACCUGGGUAUUCUAGGACUUGCCUGUUUUCUUUUGGACCGCCACCCAGGCUCAAAGGGAUCAUGAGAUUAUUCAUGCUAGAAACUUCUGUGUGCAGCCACAAGCUAUUAUGGGCUCUAGCAUAGUUGACUAAGUCGUGCGAACUCUUACAGUGGUAGACUAGCAGAUGUAGGGGAUGUAGGCGGUCUACCCAAUCGUAAGGUGCUAGCACUUCUGAAAGACUAUGUCUCGGUCAUCCGUCUUCUCAAACACCUUAUAGUGCGAGAAACGAAACGGAGGCGAUCGAGUCUUGUGGGGAAAAGUGCGUAAACCUCUGUAGAGUGUAAUAAACUAAUCAUGAUUAGCCGUGUCCCCGGUUAUGGACAUCUUGAGUAUCUAGUACCUGGAUUAUCAUGUGAAUCUCAACAUGUUACUUUAAAUUAAUUUUUUUGGGUUUUGUUUAAUGAUGAUGCUUAAUUGGGAUUGAGAAUGCUGUCAACCAUUCUCAAUGUUUAACAACUACCAUGAUAGUUAAAUAAAAUUUAUUCCUUUGAAGUAGGGAAAAAUUGGCUUUACGUAAAACUGUAACCGUAGAGCUUUCCACCAGACAAAUAUGCGUAUAGUAUAGUUAUUUCAUUCCAUUACUCUCUAUGUGUUACCUUGCCAGCAUAUUCCAUGUGCUGACCCGUUUCGGGCUGCAACGUCAAUGUUGCAGACUUUUCAGAUGAUGAUUAAGGAGUUUUUAGGUCGUGGUUCUAUACUCAGUGAUGUCGUUGGAGUUGAUGGACUAACUUAUCUUCCAAGCCUUCCACUGUUAUCGUUAUUAGAUGGCCUUAAGCCAUAUUUAUUGUAUUAAGUUCUCUAUGAGACACUCGAUGUAAUAAGUGUGUGAUUGCUACUCUGUUAUAAAUCCUCCGAGUACUGUGUGGUGUCAGCAUUACUGAUCCAGGGAUGACACCGGAGCACAGAGAUCAGACUGUUUGAGGUCUGGUCGCUACAAAAGUUUGCAAGCUCUGACUUCAACUAAAAUAUGUAUAUAAGUUAGCUUGCUUUUGUGGAAAUUAAAUGCAUUUUACUAGUUAACCUGCUGUUGUGAUUAUUCAAGGAAAAGAAACAAGCAUGCAGAGUUUCAGGUCCUGAAACUGAAACAGAGCAAAAAAAUGUAAACAGGGAAAAAACUGAUGUUUAUGUAUCUCACCUUGACAAAAACUGAUGUUCACUACCAUUAUACAG